ensembl:lncRNA
AUUUUUCUUUACCAGCAGUCACUUGCCUGGCAAAUGCUCCCUUUGGCUUGGCACUCAUGCCUCUGGAAAUACUCCUGGCAGCCGCAGGGUGAGGAAGGGAAACAGGAUUCAAGCACAAAACAAGAGGCAGACUGAGGGCAUAAGCAGAAGCAGAGGUUUCAAGAGCUUAUGGGUUUGUGUUUGCCACUAGCAGUGUAUUCUGGAAACACUAAAAUUUAAUGCUGAAAGAAGAUGAUUCAUUACAGUGAUAUAAAGCAAAAAAAGAAGUUUGCAUCUUUUACGUCUAAGUUUGCCUUUGUUAAUUGAAGUCGCUUCACCUCAAACCUUCUUCAUCUUUUGGAUUAAUACAAUUAGAGACUUGUUCCUGGUACUGCAACCUGAGCUCCAUUUAAUGCAUGUUAAAUGGAUUAAGUACGGAAUAUAUGCUGAAAUAUUCAAUUAUAAUUAUCUCUAUAAUAAUUCAGCUCUAUAACAAUACAGAAAAUGUCUAAUAUUCAAUUCCAGCUGGCAGUGAAAUCUGAAGACUGAGUAGAUUAAGAAGAAAAUAUGUAACAUCUUGGCUCCCUAGGGACAAAGCGUAUCUCAAAGCUUAGCAUAAAUAAUAUUUUAGAAGCCAUGGCUGACUAAAAUAAACUUUGUACGUCUGCCCUUACCUUUCUGCCAACUACAAUCCAACUAAUUUCAUUUUGAAAUGUAAACUUUAAAAAGAAAUCAGUAAGUGGCACUUCAGAAGAAAGAUGAUAACGCUACUGGAAAAGUUACACUCUCAAAGGACAAUUAAGUAUUGAGUUUUUCCUUUUGCAUAUGAAUACCCUACAUAGCAAUGGAGAGUUCUGGUCUGAUUCUUUAAAAUGAGAUUUUGUUCCCAGGCAGCAAAAUUCACAUGCUUCUUUCAGUUCCUCCUCAAGCAACAGCAAAGCCUGAAAAAGAAAGCUCUGGACCAAGGCAGCUAACAGAAGGAAACCCUGUGUCUGCUUGUCCUGGCAGUCCUUCAGCAAUUUCACCCAUUUUUAAAUUGCACCCAUUUUUAAGAAGAAUAGAAAUGAUGACCCAGGGAACUACCAGCCUGUCAUCCUCAACUCUGUGCUGGGGAAGGUCAUGGAACUGAUUCUCCUGGAAGCUGUGCUAAGGCAUAUGGAAGAGAGGGAGGUGAUACUUGAUAACCAACAUGGCUUCACCACAGGCAAGUCCUUCCUGGAAAACUUAGUGGAUCUGCCUUAACAUCCUUCUCUCUAAAUUGGAAGUAUAUCAGUUUGAUGGGUGGACUGUUCAAUGGAUGAGGAACUGGUUGCAAGAUUGUACCCAGAGAGUGAUGGUCAGUGGUUCAGUGUCCAGAUGGAGAUGGUGACAAGUGGCAUCCCUCAGGGGUUACCUCUGCACACAUCAGUCUCUGCCAGCCAAGAGUGCCAUGCAUUAUUACUGAAAGAGGCUGUGUAUGAGGAUAUAUGGGACUAAAAGUUGUACAUAAGAUCUGGUUGCAGUGAAGACCUUGGCAAACGUCCUCUAAAGAACUUUGCUGAUGUGGCUGAAGACAUAGCCAUGGCUGUCCUUGUGCCUUGCCCUUCUUCUGUGACUUGCCUCAUCCCCACAAGCAGGCGGCAGUGAACAGCCUUUGGAAGUGACUUUGUUGAAAGUUUGGGCUGUGCCUUGGCAGAGUUAAGACACAGGCACACGUUGCUCCUGCCUCUCCUACAGGAUCCAUAACCCCAAGAUGACAGAAGGGACAGCCAGGAGACCAACAGUACCUGAAUAUGCCCCUGCUAGAUUUACCAGAGACUGACUGAUAAGAAGUCCCUUAAAACUAUCUUGGUAUACAGUUGAAGGGCUGCAGUCUCCUGUAGCAUAAAUCAGUACCCAAUGCUGUCGAAAUCCAUGAAGCUAUGCCAGGUUUACAUCAGUUAACUCACUCCAAAACUGUUCAUAGCUCAUGCCCCGGUAAAGAUUUAGAAGCAGAAGGCAAGGUUCCCCAUACUCUGCACUGACCAGAUGCAUGUCAGGACAGGGUGUAUAUUUCCCUCUAUGGAGCUGCAGGUCCAUCCCUUCCUGGCCUCACAUUACAUCCAAACAGAGCACCCACAACCUUCCCCAGUGUGAUUUGCAGUCCCUCAGUAAGCUGAACACAACAUUAUGGGAAUUCAACUCUUGCCUAAUUAAAACGAUGCAAUCAACUGGUUCACAAGCGUUUUAGGAUCUUCUUAAUAACUCUAUUUUUAUCAGCUUGAGUGCCAGACACUGUAGCAUGACGUGAUCAUUAGUGCUGAUAUUUGGAGUCAGGAAAGUCUUUUCUUACUGUAUUUUCUUCCCUUGUGAGUAUUUGCUCUGUUAACCCACUCCCUCUGCCAUUACUGUGCCAGCUCCCAUUUGCUGCUAACAUCCAAUAUAAAGUAAUUUGCUCUAAAUUACUUUAAAAGUAUGGAUGGCCAUGCUUCCAAAAAUACACUCUAAAUAGGCAGGUGUGAUUUUAAGAAAAAUGAAAGAAAAAAAAUUAGGACUGCUUUAAGUAGAAAAAAAAUAAAUGGGAAAGAAGUUUCUUAGGAGAUACCUUUUUUGUGUGUGGAGGGGGGGGGAAAUGUAUCAUUUUGUUUUCGUUUCUUAAUUCAUAGCUGUCUUUUAGAUUCCUAAAUGCAUGUAUAAUAAAAUAAAGCUUACAAUAUUAACUUCUGUUACACAA